AGUGAACGCUGGCGGUAGGCCUAACACAUGCAAGUCGAACGGCAGCACAGUAAGAGCUUGCUCUUACGGGUGGCGAGUGGCGGACGGGUGAGGAAUACAUCGGAAUCUACUUUUUCGUGGGGGAUAACGUAGGGAAACUUACGCUAAUACCGCAUACGACCUACGGUUGAAAGCAGGGGAUCUUCGGACCUUGCGCGAUUGAAUGAGCCGAUGUCGGAUUAGCUGGUUGGCGGGGUAAAGGCCCACCAAGGCGACGAUCCGUAGCUGGUCUGAGAGGAUGAUCAGCCACACUGGAACUGAGACACGGUCCAGACUCCUACGGGAGGCAGCAGUGGGGAAUAUUGGACAAUGGGCGCAAGCCUGAUCCAGCCAUACCGCGUGGGUGAAGAAGGCCUUCGGGUUGUAAAGCCCUUUUGUUGGGAAAGAAAAGCAGCAGGUUAAUACCCCGCUGUUCUGACGGUACCCAAAGAAUAAGCACCGGCUAACUUCGUG
rnacentral:rRNA from 1 species